rnacentral:rRNA from 1 species
GCGCAGCGAAAGCGAGUCUUAAUAGGGCGUUGAGUUAGAUGGAUCAGACCCGAAACCGAGUGAUCUAGGCAUGGCCAGGUUGAAGGUAAGGUAACACUUACUGGAGGACCGAACCCACAUCCGUUGAAAAGGAUCGGGAUGAGCUGUGCCUAGGGGUGAAAGGCCAAUCAAACUCGGAGAUAGCUGGUUCUCUGCGAAAUCUAUUUAGGUAGAGCGUCAUCCGAAUACCCUCGGGGGUAGAGCACUGGAUGGGCUAGGGGGUCCCAACGACUUACCAAACCUAACCAAACUCCGAAUACCGAGGAGUACUAGAUGGCAGACACACUGCGGGUGCUAAGGUCCGUAGUGGAGAGGGAAACAGCCCUGACCACCAGCUAAGGUCCCUAAGUUAUCACUAAGUGGGAAACGAUGUGGGAGUGCUUAGACAACCAGGAGGUUGGCUUAGAAGCAGCCAUCCUUUAAAGAAAGCGUAACAGCUCACUGGUCAAGCGCUCCUGCGCGGAAAAUGUAACGGGGCUUAAGUGAUACACCGAAGCUGUGGAUUCAAUCUUAUGAUUGAGUGGUAGCGGAGCGUUCCGUAGGCCGAUGAAGGUGGACCCGCGAGGGCCGCUGGAGGUAUCGGAAGUGAGAAUGCUGACAUGAGUAGCGACAAAGAGGGUGAGAGACCCUCUCGCCGAAAGUCCAAGGUUUCCUGCGCAAUGCUAAUCAGCGCAGGGUUAGUCGGCCCCUAACGCGAGGCAGAAAUGCGUAGUGGAUGGGAAGCAGGUUAAUAUUCCUGCACCUGACGGGUAGUGACGGAUUCUGGAAGUUGUCAGUCCUUAUCGGAUUGAAUUGGCAGCCAAGGAGUCCCUGGAAAUAGCUCCCGCAUUUGACCGUACCCCAAACCGACACAGGUGGACUGGUAGAGC